rnacentral:rRNA from 1 species
UACAGAGGUCUCAAGCGUUGUUCGGAUUCAUUGGGCGUAAAGGGUGCGUAGGCGGCGGGGCAAGUCAGGUGUGAAAUCCCGGAGCUCAACUCCGGAACUGCACUUGAUACUGCCUUGCUAGAGUACUGGAGAGGAGACUGGAAUUUACGGUGUAGCAGUGAAAUGCGUAGAGAUCGUAAGGAAGACCAGUGGCGAAGGCGAGUCUCUGGACAGUUACUGACGCUGAGGCACGAAGGCCAGGGGAGCAAACGGG